AUGACUGCUAAAUACAGACAAUCCCAUUAACGACACCAAGGCAUGCGCUAGCACGUGCCAGCUGGCAAGGAACUAUUGCUGGCACCUGCGCAAAAGGUCAAUCCAGGAGGAGGUCAACGGUACACGCAGAACAGGUGGAAGUUUUAGCUGAUGUCUGCAGAUGAAGACACUUUGCAAGGGCUAAAUGAAGCCACCCACCCAGUGACGCAAAGAGUUGAUCCUUCACACCCCGAGUCACCACCUCUCUCUUCCAAGCAGCCAGUAGGAGAAAAACAUACACAUGAGACCAUGAAUGAACUGCGUCAUCAGUUGAAAUCAUGAAUGGAGUUUUGGUGUCUGUACUUGAAGCCCGAAGAGACUUUUAGAAAAAGCAUUAAUACAAAUAAAAAUGAUAUUGCAAGA